rnacentral:rRNA from 1 species
UAGGGAAUCUUCCACAAUGGACGCAAGUCUGAUGGAGCAACGCCGCGUGAGUGAAGAAGGUUUUCGGACCGUAAAGCUCUGUUGUUGGUGAAGAAGGAUAGAGGUAGUAACUGGCCUUUAUUUGACGGUAAUCAACCAGAAAGUCACGGCUAACUACGUGCCAGCAGCCGCGGUAAUACGUAGGUGGCAAGCGUUGUCCGGAUUUAUUGGGCGUAAAGCGAGCGCAAGGCGGAAGAAUAAGUC